UACGUAGGGGGCUAGCGUUGUCCGGAAUCAUUGGGCGUAAAGCGCGUGUAGGCGGUCCGGUAAGUCCGCUGUGAAAGUCGGGGGCUCAACCCUCGAAUGCCGGUGGAUACUGUCGGGCUAGAGUGCGGAAGAGGCGAGUGGAAUUCCUGGUGUAGCGGUGAAAUGCGCAGAUAUCAGGAGGAACACCUAUUGCGAAGGAAGCUCGCUGGGACGUAACUGACGCUGAGACGCGAAAGCGUGGGGAGCGAACAGG
rnacentral:rRNA from 1 species